rnacentral:lncRNA from 1 species
AGCUAGCUGGAUGAAUGUUUAACUUCUAGGCCAGGCACUACUCUGUCCCAACAAUAAGCCCUGUACAUUGGGAAAGGUGCCGAGACAUGAACUUUGGUCUUCUCUGCAAUCCAUCUGGAGCAUUCAGUGACAACAUCGACUUUGAAGUUGCACUGACCUGGCCAGCCCUGCCACUUACCAGGUUGGGCUGUGGCUUGCCUUUUCACUUCUUGUGUCCUGUUUAAGAAAUAUCUACUAUCCCAAGAUUGCAAACUCCUAGAGAAGGGCUCAACAGUGAGUGCUGAGGCUGCACAGAGGAGGAAGGCAGCACAAUGAUGGAAGGCUUCCUAAAGAGAUAACACUAACAAAGUUGACCUUAGAAUUGGAGUGCCUGGGUUAGAACCCUGCUGGUACCACCUGCUUACUGCAUGCUUCUGAUGUGAGUUCAGGAGAAGACACUGGCAAGGACAGCAAAGAACAGGAGAACACUCUAGCUUCCCUGAUAGCAUUCAAGGUGCUGUCCAAAGCUCUUGAGUUUCUGCUUUCAAGUGACCCUCAGAAAUUCCCCCAUUCACUGCAGAGGUUCUGUUUCUCCUUGCUUUGUUCUGACUUUACGGCAGAACUAAGCUGAUGAGUUAGUUACUAUGGGUUAUCACUUGGAUUUGAAGAACCAUCAUUUCUAGGCAUUGCUGCUCAGAGUGGGUCUGCCCUCAGGGGAAGCUGUCUAACCAGAGCCUAACCCACUAGGGUUUUAUCAGAACCUAACUGACCUGAGGAAAAGAAAUAUUCAACUCCAGCAAGCUCCAGCCUUCCAAAUGGAGGAGAAGAAAACCCAACUCCAGCCCACUUCAGCUAUCUUGUCCCACAUAAAGGGGAAGUGGAAGAAACCUGAGAAGCAGGCAUGAAGUUCACAGUCCAGAGAUGACAUGAUUUUCUAUGCAAAAAA